AACUCCGUUUUGUCCACAGCAGUUUCUGUAAAAAUCGGAGCGCAGACACCGUGACACGCUCGUUUAGCGCCAGAGAUACCGAUACAUUAAAAAAAAAAAAAUGUACGAUGCACCACAAAUUCUGCGUUACUACUAAUCUGACUUUAAUUUGACUCUUCGAACGGUUGCCUGGAUAGCGGGAGCCGUCUGGUUUGACUUUUGCUUCAAUAAAUCACAAACAACACAAACGCUCCUUCUCGGCCUACUUACCCAGACGGAAUGCUGCGGCGUUAACGUACUUUUCGGUUCUUUACUUUCUUUGUCCUCUUUAUAGUCCUUUCAUUUUGCUCUGUAAGUUUCUUUCCCCUUCUUUGACAUUCUCCCAUAUAGUUUGUCGCACCGAACGCCAUCAUCGGUCCAAAUGCCUUGCAGCCACUUUUUUGCGCGAAACUAAAGUCCAGCGUUUGAAAACUCCGCCGCGAGAAGACACUUACUGCUUGGGGAAGGAUGUGAUUUGGAAUACAUUUUUGACUGUAAAAGUUGCUACAACCUUCUGGGCAGAAGUCUGUAUUUGACGAAAAGCCAAGUUGAGAUCCUAGCCAUUAAGACGCCAUCUUGAAAGUUCGUUUUCCCCACCAUCCCCGAGCUUGUGAGUGAUAACGCGGUCACUGAUUGGUUUCAGCUCUUGCCCCGCCCUUCCAUCGCGGGCUCUGGUUGGUGUAUGCUUGUGCCAUCGUGUUGGUGACGUACUUGGCCUUGACACGCAUGGUUUUGGGCGCCUUUUCUUAUUUGCGUUUGCCGGUACGGAUUUAUGUUUUUAUUUUGUGGAAGACGCGCACACGUUCGCAUGCAGCGGAUCAAUAAAAUACAGUGGACUGGUGACCAAGGAUAUGGACUUGCUGAAGGUGUUCUUCGUGCUCGGGUAACGUCUCUAUCCGUAAGGCAGCGUUGUGUGUAAUAAUGAGCAAAGAAGUCUGAAGAACACUGAGGAGAAAAUGAAAACCUCGAAAUUCUAGAAAGCAGGAAAAAGGAAUAGCAAAGGCCGCAGCGUUGUGAAAAGCAGAACAAGAGCUGGCACUGCAGGGGCUUUCUGCCUUUUUGUCAGCUAUGUGGAAACCACUGUUUUAUGUCUAGAAAAUGCCUCAGAACAGCACUGCGGUCGCUACAGAAAAGGCACCAUAUAACAUCAGUGAGUGUGGCUCCAGUCAGUCUGCAAGGUCCCACAAACCUGAAGCGUCAACGUCUACAUGUAGACGGGGAUUUUCAGUCAUUUCCCCAUUUUUAGGACCUGGACUAGCUGAAGCCUGCCAAGUAGACCUUACGGUCAGACGGCCUGGGGUGAGACCUGUUUCUUGGCACACUAGAGAAGGCCCUGGUCUGGUUUGUGCAUCUUUCUCGAAGCCUCAUACCCUUGUAAUAUUUUUUUGGUGCACUCAUUCAUUGCACAUAGAAGUGGGCAGCAUGACCAAAAAUUUUAUAUUGUGGUGUUAUUAAAACUUCUGACAGUUUCUGUACCACUAUAAUGUAUUUAUAAAUACUUUUCAAUCUGAAAUAUUUUUUUAAACGAGUACUACUGAUUCAUGUUGCACACUAGUAUGCCUCUUAUCCAUGUGAACACUUCUUAACAUUCUGCUACUCAAGUAGAUUUGAUUGCAGAUAACCCACUGAACUAAUAGUAAGUAUGUGUCUUUCACACAUGUUCAAUCGUGUCACUGCUGCCAAGCAAACUAUCAUAAAACUUGGCUAUUUUGUGUUCUUCCGUCCUGUUUCCAUCACCUCAUGGAUCAGGUUGAUCCACACAUCACUCUGGGUAGUAUUUUUAAGGGCUAGGCUCACUCAUCACACUGAGUUCACAUACAAGUUCAUACACAAAAAAAUACCUUUACAAAACUCCUGACCAACCCAAAAUUACAUUUUUCACUUCCUUUUGCAUACAGUGUUUUCCCCUAAAUCUUGGCACACCAGUAAACCAUUUAUUAUGAAAUCCAUGCCAAAAGUAAAAUUUCAUCUGGUGUACCCGAUCAGCUGCUAUAUCACCCUCUCCUAGCACACACAGUCAUCAACAAAAAUGGCGUCCUCCCGCACAAGUGUGCAUAUGAAAUAUGAACUGGCCCAAUGACUUUGAAUUAUUAAUCAAUGCGCUUCACUUGUGAGAUUUAUUAGUGGGGUGUUUACAGUCGUAUGGUGCUGUGUGUUCCUGUGCUUUAAUGUUCUUAUUAAUAUGAACCUGUCUAAUAGGAUAGGAGGAAUAAACGGAGUUGAAUUGUACAGACCGAUAUCAUAGGCAAUAGAUGGGCCAACAGAUAUGAGAGGCGCUACGUGAAAUGUACAUGCAAAUACAGCUUAGUGCCAUCUGCGUUUGAAUGCCGCAGUAGACAGUCAUCCAAGUUGUGUUCUAAGUUUUUGUAGGUAAGGAAGACCGACGCCCCAAACCAAAGUCAGAAUUUCACUGUGCUCUGUGCACAUAACAAUAAUUACCCUAUAAACCCUACCUAGCAAUUCAAAGCACAAGACUGUUGGGCAAAAGCUUGCUGUAAUGGGAGAUCACAUUUCCUUGGAUAUCUGUUGUUUCUGGAAAUGCAUCAGAGUUGUUAUUCACCUUCAAUGACCUUACUUUAAAGAUAGCCUCUGACUUCAUAAUAGUGGGACUGCGUGCACGAAAAUGCCUCAUCGAUUUAAAUAACUAAUAUUUGUAUGAACAAUAAAUGAAGUUUUUUUUUUUUUUUUAAAGUAUAUUUUACACCUUUUCGUGCAGUCCCUAAUUUAUGACAACAGAAGCAAACGUUAAAGCUGAUUGGAUGAAGGCAACUGUCUCUCCUAGAGUGACAACUUCUUCUAAGGCGGUCAGAGACUCUGCCAGAGCCCACACUGUAAGAAUACAGAGCUGAGUAUACUGAACCUGAAAAGUCCUUUGUGGUCGUGUUUUUAUUAGAAAAAAGGCACUUUCUAAAUUCAAAAUAAAAAUGUAGCUCAUUACUCACUAAAGUUUUGGAUUGCUGUCAUCUGUGUUCAUGCUCCACUACAUUUGCAAAGUACAUUAAUGUGAUGUUCCGUAAGGUAAGUUGCUGUAUAAAAGGUCUUAGUCAGACUACCUGCAUUGACACAAGUGCUGGACUAUAUAGCGGUCCCCUAAUUGCACAUUGUAGACAUGUUUCAGCAGCUACGGCUGUAAAUUAGGGAAACGCAGUGGGGGUGUUGAUUAAUGCUUUUGUUUUGUUUUUUUUUUUUUUUGGCUCUCGGAUUUUUCUCACACAUUUCAAAAGUGGGUCAGUGGCGUUAUUUUGGCUCUUUAUGGUUGUGCUCAUGGAGGGGGGACUUUGAUGGCCUGGUAUCAUGUCAUGUGUUUCCUGUCUUACACUUGAUGCUUCCAAAAUAGGCUGCAGCCCCCCAUGGUUUAAGCAAUCUUGGGAAUUUUGUUAUAAACAUUUAAAUUACCUUUCAACAUUAACUACUGCCACUUGAGUAUCAUGACCACUACAGAAAGGUGAUGUGUACAAGUUAUAUUUUGUUAUUCUCUCCCCUAGUGAUUAAAGGCUGGACUGCAAAGCAGAUGCCUACUAAUUCAGUCCCUUGCCCAUUGCUCCCUGUGUAUCCCAUAGUGAGCCAGUUGUUUAACAGAGCAUUUUAAAUGAUCAUUCAUUCAUUUAUUCAGUCAUUCUCCAAACCCGCUACAUCCUGAGCAGGGUCGCAGGGGAAGCUGAAGUCUAUCCUAGAAAGCAUUGCGUAUAAGGCAGGAAUAAUUCCUGGACAAGGCAACAGUCCAUUGUAGGAUGAAUACACAGGCCCACACACUAAGGCCAAUUGAGUAUUGUCAAUCCACCUAACUUGCAUGAAUUUCGACUCUAGGAGGAAACUGGUGCACCUGGAGAAAACCCAUAUAGAAACAGGAUAAACAUGCAAAAUCCAUGCAGGGAGGACCCAGGACCUUCACUUCCGCCAUCUUGGUGUGAGGCAGCAGUGCUACUGUCCCAUCAUUUAAAUGAUAUUUAAGCUCUUGUGAUAUGGUUCAAUAUCAUGACGGUAUUAUGUUUUUGGUACACUGUGUUAAUCCCCAAGGGGAGACUGUUUAUUCGCAUGACCUUUGGGGGUCAGAAUGCAGGGUCAGCCAUUGUACAGUGCUCCUGGAGCAAUACUAAACCAAAUUAAAGCAAAGGAGCCCCUGCAUGUGAAAAUGUUGAAUAUUGACUCUAUAUGUGCUGCUAUAGUUGUAAAUGAAUGAUCUGGCGCUCGCUAUUGUAAGCUGCUAUAUAAAAGUUAUCAGUCACUGUAGUGUGCCCCUUAGUGGCUAAAAUAUUGUAGUAUUAAGCAGAAGCUUGCUGGUACAGUUGUCAUCACUGAUUCAGAGAGCGACGUGUGGUUGGUCAGUUCACCUGCCAGGGAUAUUAUUGUAAGCAAUAUUUUAAACAAAUGUAACUGUGAGUUGUUUUCGCUACAUUGUGGAAAGGUAUAAUAUUAAAACUAGUAAUUUGUAUUGAAACAAUUUGGUCCCCAUUACCUAAAAUACUGAUUUGUUAAAAGAGCACUGGUUUGGUUCACUGCAUAAAGGUGCCCUAUAAGAAAUGAUUACUUAGUUUGCCCCCUAGUGGCUAAAGACUGAAGUGUAAGGCUGAUUCAGUCCUCAUCCAUUACUUGUGUAUCCUUGAGCAUGUCACUUCACCUGCCACUGCUGAGAUUGUUAAAAUAAUAUAGAAAUGAAUGUACUGUCACAGUAAAUGCUCUUGGGAUA